AUAAACGAGUCGUCCCGCAGUGUUUGUGAUUAUACCCUGAUGAAGACAGCUUGGCUGUCGAAACGUUGGACAUUACAUUUUUGCAUCUGAGCUCCUAGAGUGUGCGGCUCUCCUUUAUUUCCAAGUUUUCUACUCCGCUGGCCAGCACCUCGCCUAAAUAGGUGUGAGUUUCUUUUUCUUCUAGAUACAAAAAGUUUGAACCAUCUGUUAUUCUUCCUGAACUCACAAUGCCGGAUGUUGUUGGGCCAGACGACCAAGAAGGGCAACUACAUCACAACGGCAGUUUCAAGGCGGCAACCCUAAUGACUCCUUGUCGAUACGAGGGAGGAUCCUCUGGAGCAAAAUAGAGGAGAGAGCCUUUGAAUUACUUGCUCAACUCUUGUCAAGCUCGGCCUAUCAAGAGGCAACAGCAUGCAUUAUUCAUCUCUACAAAACUCUCUGUGCCGUGUCAGAAACUACAUCAACAGCCAUAACUAGUCCUCUGCAGUGCCUUCAGAAAGUAUUCAUACCCAUUUACUUUUUCCACAUUUUGUUGUGUUUACUGCCUGAAUUUAAAACGGAUUAAAUUGAGAUUUUGUGUCACUGUCCUACACACAAUAACCCAUAAUGUCAAAGUGGAAUUAUGUUUGUACACAUUUUUACAAAUUAAUUUAAAAUGAAAAGCUGAAAUGUCUUGAGUCAAUAAAUAUUCAACCCCUUUGUUAUGGCAAGCCUAAAUAAAUCACAUAAUAAGU